CCUACGGGAGGCAGCAGUGGGGAAUAUUGCGCAAUGGGCGAAAGCCUGACGCAGCGACGCCGCGUGAGGGAUGAAGGUCUUCGGAUCGUAAACCUCUGUCAGCAGGGAAGAACGGUCACUGUGCUAAUCAGCAGUGAAUUGACGGUACCUGCAAAGGAAGCACCGGCUAACUCCGUGCCAGCAGCCGCGGUAAUACGGAGGGUGCGCGCGUUAAUCGGAAUUACUGGGCGUAAAGCGCUCGUAGGCGGUAUGUCAAGUCAAGGGUGAAAUCCCCGCGUGCAACGUGGGAACUGCCUUUGAAACUGGCAAACUUGAGUGUGUGAGAGGAUAGUGGAAGUCCAGGUGUAGGAGUGAAAUCCGGAGAGAUCUGGAGGAACAUCAGUGGCGAAGGCGACUAUCUGGCACAUAACUGACGCUGAGGAGCGAAAGCGUGGGUAGCAAACAGGAUUAGAUACCCGAGUAGUC
rnacentral:rRNA from 1 species